ACAGGGAUUGCCCUAGUAACGGCGAGUGAAGCGGCAACAGCUCAAAUUUGAAAUCUGGCGUCUUUGGCGUCCGAGUUGUAAUUUGCAGAGGGCGCUUUGGCAUUGGCAGCGGUCCAAGUUCCUUGGAACAGGACGUCACAGAGGGUGAGAAUCCCGUACGUGGUCGCUAGCCUUUACCGUGUAAAGCCCCUUCGACGAGUCGAGUUGUUUGGGAAUGCAGCUCUAAAUGGGAGGUAAAUUUCUUCUAAAGCUAAAUACUGGCCAGAGACCGAUAGCGCACAAGUAGAGUGAUCGAAAGAUGAAAAGCACUUUGGAAAGAGAGUUAAAAAGCACGUGAAAUUGUUGAAAGGGAAGCGCUUGCAGCCAGACUUGCCUGUAGUUGCUCAUCCGGGUUUUUACCCGGUGCACUCUUCUACAGGCAGGCCAGCAUCAGUUUGGGCGGUUGGAUAAAGGUCUCUGUCACGUACCUCCUUUCGGGGAGAACUUAUAGGGGAGACGUAAUGCAACCAGCCUGGACUGAGGUCCGCGCAUCUGCUAGGAUGCUGGCGUAAUGGCUGUAAGCGGCCCGUCUUGAAACACGGACCAAGGAGUCUAACAUCUAUGCGAGUGUUUGGGUGUCAAGCCCGAGCGCGUAAUGAAAGUGAACGGAGGUGGGAACCUUUCGGGGUGCACCAUCGACCGAUCCUGAUGUCUUCGGAUGGAUUUGAGUAAGAGCAUAGCUGUUGGGACCCGAAAGAUGGUGAACUAUGCUUGAAUAGGGUGAAGCCAGAGGAAACUCUGGUGGAGGCUCGCAGCGGUUCUGACGUGCAAAUCGAUCGUCAAAUUUGGGCAUAGGGGCGAAAGACUAAUCGAACUAUCUAGUAGCUGGUUCCUGCCGAAGUUUCCCUCAGGAUAGCAGUAACGUUUUCAGUUUUAUGAGGUAAAGCGAAUGAUUAGAGGCCUGGGGGUUGAAACAACCUUCACCUAUUCUCAAACUUUAAAUAUGUAAGAAGUCCUUGUUACUUAAUUGAACGUGGACAGUUGAAUGUAUCGUUACUAGUGGGCCAUUUUUGGUAAGCAGAACUGGCGAUGCGGGAUGAACCGAACGCGGGGUUAAGGUGCCAGAAUAUACGCUCAUCAGACACCACAAAAGGUGUUAGUUCAUCUAGACAGCAGGACGGUGGCCAUGGAAGUCGGAAUCCGCUAAGGAGUGUGUAACAACUCACCUGCCGAAUGAACUAGCCCUGAAAAUGGAUGGCGCUCAAGCGUAUUACCCAUACCCCGCCGCUGGGGCAAGAUUUAAGCCCCAGCGAGUAGGCAGGCGUGGAGGUCCGUGACGAAGCCUUGG
rnacentral:rRNA from 1 species